rnacentral:lncRNA from 1 species
UGCGCACGGCUAAGAGUUAGAAUCGAAAUGGGUCCCUUCUAACUUAGAGUACUCUGUGAUUCCGUGAAUUGUAGCACUUGGCCAGCGUACACACACCGCUUCGUGCAUCAGGCAAAGGCUGCUCACUCGCAGCCCUCGGCUGCACCUUUGUGGUUAUACAGAAGCCUCUCGGGCGCGCUUUCCCCCAACGUGGCGCUGCUGUAUCGCAACCAAGCGACGGCCGCCUGCUGCAAAAGGUGCUGCAGUAAAGCGCCGCGGCACCGCCAUCUCCCAACGCCGCUGGAUCAGAGCCGCUGCGUGCGCCGGGCCGCGCUCCGCACACAGCCCCGGCCGAGCGACUUCCGUGCGUGGAUGCGCUCCCCGCCUCACAGGUAACCAGGCAACGGCGGGCGGGACCCUGCGCUCUCGCCGCCCUUUGAGGAACAAGAGCAUACAAGGAGACAGCUUUUAGCCGCGGCGGUGCGCGGAGAGCUGAGGCUGCGGCGAGCGGGACCCGGGGCCCCCGGUCGUGGGGCAGGCACACAGCCUGGCGGGGUCGAGCGGCCGCCAACCGCCAUCUUGCUUGCGGACGGGUACCCGAAACCAAGAUGGCGCUCGGGCGUUGAGCGCGGGGCUGGCGCUUCCCCGCCCAGAGCGGAAGUGACGAUUCGGCGGCGGCGGCGGCUGCCCCCCGCGCCCCUCCCGGUGGUUUUUGCUUUUCCCCGCGGGCUUCACGUCUUUUCCUCCGACGAGACGGAAAAUGGCCGCCCGGUUGCCGUAAGGGAGCGGGGCCGCCGGGAGUUCCGCCCGCUAGGACUCAGUAUUGCUGAAAGCACAAAUACAGAGUUUUGAAAUAAUUUCUUCAUUGAUAUCAACUAACAGUUUGAGGUAAGUUUAAUUAAAGUCCUUUUUAAACGUUCUGAUUGAACUCAGCAAUUGAAAAUUAAAUCUUAUUUUGCUUUCCUAUAUUUUAUGCUUGCAGUAAGAAGCUACAGUAUAUAAAACUGUCUUGUAAAGAUCAACUGUACUUGUCGUACAUAGAAUGCAAAUAAUUUAAAGCUGAGAUUGAGUUACAUUAUAAACAUUGUGCAUCUGAUGUUCGGUUUGAUAAUUACUUGCAACAGAUAAAACCCCACCAGGUUUUCUUUUCUGUCACUCUUGGAAAAUUGGCAUGUCUUAAAUAGUUUAAAAGGUCUAAAUUUAUGUUGCCUGUGUGUAUUCGUCCUAAGUGAUUGCAAGGCGUUUUCCGUCAACUUAAUUGAACUCAAUGAAUUAGAAAAUAUCUUCAGAGUAUAGGUUCUGCAAAUUUGCUCUUUAGUGGAAGGAGCCAGUAAAAAAGAGCAUUCAACAUACUCUUCUUCGCCAAGGUAAAUAGUUUUUUCUGAGUUAUGUGGAAGUCUGGUUUAAAUUCAGUUUUUGCUGGGCUGGUUUCAGAUGAGGUUACAUCUCUUAGGCCAUGCAAACUCUCAUGGGGAAAGUCAUGGGGGGCAGGAGGAACCAGUUGAUAGGAGGAAAGGUCAUCUGCUUUUCUCUUUUUGGUUCUCUUAGAUAUGUGUAAAGUCUCUGUAAUUUUGGUAACUUCAAUUUAAACUCUAAUGUUGUUUUUGUCCUUACAUAAUUGAAAUACCACCCAGGUAAUGAGAAAGAUGAUAUAAGAGAAAGUCCUUGUUGUGUUGAGCUAGUAUUUUUUAACGGUAAUUUAGGCUUUAAAGCCUGUUUGCAAUACAAGCGGUAAAUGUUUGAUUUUUUCCGUUUCUGUUUUAAUUUUAUUAUUAAACAAUUAUAAUUGAGCAUUCAAAGGCCUGAAAAUGUCUAGUUACUUGUUCAUAGCUUUUAUUCAGGUUGUCUAAUGUGACACUUGUUUUUGUUUUUUUUUAAAGCUGGGCAAUUUCAAAAGAAAAUGGUAAUGGGUCAAAGGUUUUAUUAAUUAAAUUGGGGAUUUUUAGCCACUGAUCCGAAAAGAAAAGGAAAAGGUGUGUAUUUUUUUAUGGUUAGCACUUAUUCUACAUAUCUAUUAUGACUGUACAUAGGAAGACGUGAUAGUUUAUUCUGAAUUACUGUCUUUUAAUUGUCAUUGAUUCAUAAUCAGUUGUAGUUUUCAUAGCUUAGUUUGUGCUGAAGUGUGUUGAAUCUUGUUGCAAGCCAUAUUGUUUAACUAGUUGUUAAAAUCUUUGUUGGCCAUGCAUUUUACAUGUAGGUUAAAACGCUAAGUUAGUCUAAAAAGAUGCAGGAUGGGCAUCUUGAGCAGUGGAAGUUCAGAUCAGAGGGGUGAGCUUUAGUACGUAUAGUUAAGAGAAAUAAUGCCUGUGGGUCAAAUUAACAGCUGCUAGACCAAAUACUUCAGGGCUUUUUCUUUGCUUGUGUGAAUGGUGCAUUGUUGAGGACUGUGAACUCCUCCUGGAGAAGGAACAGUGCAUUGGAAAUGCAAGAGAACUAUAAACAACACAAUAGCUAGAAUUUUGUUACAAUAUAUUAAGAUGUCCGGAAUUGCAUUAGUCUUUCCUUAAUUUGCAGAAAUGUUUCAUUUUCUGCUGCUUCCUUUCUCCUACAGUAUCUGUGUGCAGCUAAAUCCGGAAAAAACCUUUCACUGUUACACUUCAUGUUUUCAGAGAAAAUGUGUGCACUGCAGCAAUGUUAAAUCCUUUAAAAUGUGGUUAAGUUUUUAAUUUACUAAUAAAUGUACUUACACUGUCUCCA